AGUAAAGUGGCGCACGGGUGAGUAACACGUGGAUAAUCUGCCUUUUUGUGGGGGAGUAACCUGGGGAAACCUGGGCUAAUACCGCAUAAGCUCGAGAGAGGAAAGCCGCAAGGCGCAGGAAGAGGAGUCCGCGGUCGAUUAGCUAGUUGGUAGGGUAAAAGCCUACCAAGGCCACGAUCGAUAGCCGGCCUGAGAGGGCACACGGCCACACUGGCACUGAAACACGGGCCAG
rnacentral:rRNA from 1 species